rnacentral:rRNA from 1 species
ACGAACGCUGGCGGCGUGCCUAAUACAUGCAGGUAGAACGCUGAAGAGAGGAGCUUGCUCUUCUUGGAUGAGUUGCGAACGGGUGAGUAACGCGUAGGUAACCUGCCUUGUAGCGGGGGAUAACUAUUGGAAACGAUAGCUAAUACCGCAUAACAAUGGAUGACACAUGUCAUUUAUUUGAAAGGGGCAUUUGCUCCACUACAAGAUGGACCUGCGUUGUAUUAGCUAGUAGGUGAGGUAAUGGCUCACCUAGGCGACGAUACAUAGCCGACCUGAGAGGGUGAUCGGCCACACUGGGACUGAGACACGGCCCAGACUCCUACGGGAGGCAGCAGUAGGGAAUCUUCGGCAAUGGGGGCAACCCUGACCGAGCAACGCCGCGUGAGUGAAGAAGGUUUUCGGAUCGUAAAGCUCUGUUGUAAGUCAAGAACGGGUGUGAGAGUGGAAAGUUCACACUGUGACGGUAGCUUACCAGAAAGGGACGGCUAACUACGUG